UUAACACGGUGCCUAUACCACGUGACUUUUUAAGAUCUGUGUGGGGAGUAAAAUAUCAACAAAAGCGCGACGAAGGUAUGGCUCAAUGCUCCGAAUGCGGGAAAAUGUCGAAGACCAGAGCUGGAUUAUUGCGCCACAUUAGGGGACACGCUAACUCUGGAAACUAUAACUGCUGUGGGAAAGCAUUUCAGGAUGCCUACAAUCUUAGAAGGCUUCAACGAACAAAGGACCCCAAUGUCACGUGUGUGUACAGUGCGGCAGAAGCUUUGCGGACAAGUACCUACUCGUGGCUAGAGAGAAAAGUGCAAAAAAGAGGGAUUGGUGAAAUGUUACCAGUGUGGGUUGGCAGUUAGGAGUGAGAAUGACCUCAGAGAGCACGUCAAUACCCACAUGCAUGACAAGUGUUACAGUAGUGAUGAGUGUUUCAAAACGUACAAACGCAAAACAAACCUUUCUCGAUACGUGAGGACUUCACAUAAAUCCGUGAAUACUGAUUAAAAAUCAUAAUGGUUUACAGUGUGUCUGUGUAACUUCAUUAUCGUUUUACGUUAUUUUAUUCGUUGUUUUACCUUUACUUUACUUUUCAAAAUGAUUCUAAAGUUAUCCGAAUUUGAUUAAUUUUUAGGUUUCGUUUAGUUCGUUUGUGUGUUUGAAAUCAUUCUUAAAAUAAUUGUACAAUAAUUUGGAUUUACGUUAUUCAUUAAUAUAUCGCAUCUGUGAUUUGUAUUAUCGAAUCUGUGAUUCUUUUUUAAUUAUAACUUGAUUAAAGUUUUGCGAUGUUUUUUCGUUGGUUUCAAUUUUAAAUACCGCUGUCACGAGCUAGUUCGAUAAUCAUAAGCAGCCAGGGUUUCUAAUACUAGGGUUUUACACGAUUGCUUUACAUAAUUAACUGCCUGCUUAUAAUUACUCUAGGCCGUGGUAAUUGACAGUAAACAAUGUAUGCAAUGUGGUUGUGUAUACAAUACAAUACUCCUUAAUUCGAAAUACGUCUUGACAUUCUUCAGAGCUGCAUCCAUCCACAACACAGAAUCGUACAUAUAUAAUCAUAUAAUAUAAUAUUUAUUCAUUUACUUUUUAUAUUCUCUUCAAAAUAAUUAACGCUAAAGAUAAGCAUACACUUGUUACACUGAAUACAACGACAUAAUUUAUAACAUGACAUUAUCACCAACACAUGGCGAAUGAUUGUCAAUAUGUAUACUAUGUAAUAAAC